rnacentral:rRNA from 1 species
UCCAAGGAAGGCAGCAGGGGGGUAAAUUACCCAAAGUGGACUUCCCGAGGUAGUGACGAGAAAUAUCAAUGCGGGGGGCUUUGCGUCUUGCUAUUGGAAUGAGAGCAAUGUAAAACCCUCAUCGAGGAUCAACUGGAGGGCAAGUCUGGUGCCAGCAGCCGCGGUAAUUCCAGCUCCAGAAGCGUAUGCUAAAGUUGUUGCAGUUAAAAAGCUCGUAGUUGAAUUUCUGGUGUGGGAGCCCAGGCCUCGGUGCGAAUGCGCCUUGUUUUGCCUUGCGGCUCCUUUGCCAUCCUCGUUUUUCGUAAGAAAGGCGUCAUUCACUGUAAUCAAAGCAGAGUGUUCCAAGCAGGCCGUAGGGCCGGUAUGUUUAUUAUGGGAUGAUCAGAUAGGACUCGGGUGCUAUUUUGUUGGUUUGCACAUCUGAGUAAUGAUUAAUAGGAACAGUCGGGGGUAUCCGUAUUUAGGAGCUAGAGGUGAAAUUCUUGGAUUUCCGAAAGACGAACUACAGCGAAGGCAUUUACCAAGCAUGUUUUCAUUAAUCAAGAACGAAAGUCUGGGGAUCG